rnacentral:lncRNA from 1 species
GCCGGUGGGGGGGGGACAGACAGACGGGGGGGGAUACAGACAGACGGACGGACGGCAGGGUGGUCAGGAGAGCGGACAGACAGACAGACGGACAGACAGAUGGACAGACGGACCAGCAGAAGGCGAGACAGGCGGCCAGGCCGGGCGCAGUGACAGACAACAGGCAGGCGGGGCCAGGGAUGGACGGACAGACGGAUGGGGUGGACAGGUGGGUGGACGGACAGACGGACGGACGGAUGGAUGGGUGGACGGAUGGAUGGACAAAUGGAUGGACAGAUGGAUGGAGAGAUGGGAUGGACGGACAGACAGAUGGAUGGAGUGGAAUGGAUGGACAGAUGGACAGGAUGGACUGGCAGAUGGAUGGGUGGACAGAUGGACGGGAUGGACAGAUGGGUGGACGGACAGACGGACGGACAAAAGGAUGGAUGGACGGAUGGACGGACAGACGGAUGGGUGACGGACAGACGGACAGAAUGGAUGGACAGACAGAUGAGUGGACGGGAUGGAUGGAUGGACGGACAUACGGACGGACAGACCGGAUGGACGGACAGACGAACGGACGGAAUGGACGGGAUGGACGGACAGACGGACAGACAUGUGGAUGUAUGGACGGACGGAUGGACAGACGGACAAAUGGACGGAUGGAUGGACGGACAGACGGACAGACGGACGGCCGGACGGGCGCCACUCACGCCGGCCUCCUUGCGGGACUUGGCGUAGGUGCUGAUGCAGCUGGGGGGGGCUUUGCGUGCGCAGCGCUCGUGGACGGUGAACUUACAGACUGGGGGCGGCCAUUCACACCACCGCCGCGUCCAGCCGGGCACCAAUCGGCCUCGAGGUGGGCGGGGCUUGUGCGAUGGCUCCACCCCCAAAGUGGGCGGGGCCUCGUGCACAGCUGGAGGGGGCGGGGCCUCGGGCAACAGCUGGGGCCGAGCACUGGGGGUGGGGCCGGCACCCCCCCCCCCCCAGGCCCCAUCCCAACAGCCCCCAGUCCCCGGCCCCAUCCCAUCCCCAUCCCGUCCCUGUCCCCAUUCUGUCCCCGUCAGGUCCCUGUCCCAUUCCCAUCCCAUCCCCAUCCCAACACCACCCAGUCCCUGUCCCCAUCUUGUCCUUGUCCCAUCCCCAUCCCCAUCCUACCCCUAUCAGGUCCCUGUCCCCAUCCCCAUCCCA